rnacentral:rRNA from 1 species
GUCUACGGUCCUACCACCCUGAAUGUGCCAGAUUUCAUCUGAUCUCGGAAGCUAAGCAGGGUUGAGUUUGGCUAGUACUUGGAUGGGAUAAUUUUAUUCUUCUCUUUCUAUAUAUAUAUGAAAUGUCACCGGGAUU